GACGAACCGUGCGAACGUUAUUCGGAAUCAUUGGGCUUAAAGGGCGCGUAGGCGGCGAUAUAAGUUGGAAGUGAAAUCCCAUCGGCUCAACCGUGGAAUAGCUCCCAGUACUGUAUCGCUCGAGGGGGAUAGGGGUCUGCGGAACUACCGGUGGAGCGGUGAAAUGUGUUGAUAUCGGUGGGAACGCCAGUGGCGAAAGCGGCAGACUUGACCCUUCCUGACGCUGAGGCGCGAAAGCUAGGGGAGCAAACGGG
rnacentral:rRNA from 1 species